CACGUAGGGGGCGAGCGUUAUCCGGAAUCACUGGGCGUAAAGGGCGUCUAGGCGGUCCAGUAAGUCCUGCGUGAAAGCUCCCGGCUCAACUGGGAGAGCGCGUGGGAGACUGUUGGGCUAGAGACUCGGAGAGGGGUGUGGAAUUCCCGGUGGAGUGGUGAAAUGCGUUGAGAUCAGGAGGAACACCAGCGGCGAAGGCGGCGCUCUGGGCCGGAACUGACGCUGAGGAGCGAAAGCGUGGGGAGCAAACAGG
rnacentral:rRNA from 1 species